UUGAAGUCUUGCGGUCUACUAAAAUGAAAGUCACUAAAAUCGCGCAUCCAAGUCUCGCGGUCUCACCAUCUGAAAAUUAGCUCUUGAACCCUAAGUUUUACCUCAUGCCCCAUUCUGCAGUCAUUGAACCCUAAGGUUGACACCAAGUUUAUUAAAGCCAUAUCAUUCAGGCUAAUUUUGUUGUUAAUGAUGAAAAACAAAAAGAAUACAUCUUUUAGAGCUUGGGAAAGAAAUGGAAGGACAAACGAUGUAGAUUGUUUGAUAAAUAUCAUGAUUGGGAAAAAUUCAUGGAGAAAAAUAUUCAGAAUCACCCACCGCACAUUCCCCAAGAUCGUUGGGCUAUUUUUGUGCAUUACAGAUGAAACACUAAAGCAAUUGAUAUUGCUAACAAAAAUGCUACAAAUCAUGCAAAGCUAGUGAUCCCCCACGUACUAGGCUCUAUAACUCUUGCAAGGAAAAAAGAUGAGAAAAAUUGCAAAAUGAAAUGCCAAAUUGUUCUGAAAAUGAAGCUUUUGAGAGAGUUUGUGGGAAAGAACAUCUUGGCUAUGUACAGUAUGGGACUUGGAGUUAGGCCAUCUCAAAUCAUUGAAUCUUCUUCUCGUGCAACAUCAUCAACUACUUCCUUUGAGUCUAAUGAAAAGAUGAAACAAAUGCAAGUUGAAAUUGACUCACUCAAGGCUCAAGUUGUAGAAGUUGAUGUCUUAAAGGAGCAUAUCACAUUUCUUAUGCAAAGUGUUAAGGGAAAUGAGGUAAAGUAAAUAUUAUUAUGCUUUUUAAAAUUUGAAAGCAUAGAAUGACCUGUAUUGUUGUUGGUUGUAUUUUGUUAUGUUAAUAAGAAUCCUUGGAUAAUGGUUGCAAUUUUUUCUACUUCAUGGAAAUGGUUAACUUAUAUUUAUAAGAAUUUUGAGUAUUCUUAUGUUUAAUGGGUUACUAGUCAAAGGUACUGCAUUCCUAGGAGGUCUAUGGUGGAUUGAUUGAAGGCUUUGGAAAUGUAAAUCGGAAUGGUCGGUGUAAGGGUGAUGAAAUGACUUAUGCUGUUAAUUUUUCUUUGCUUGCUGUUUGAUGUUGC